GAUGAACGCUGGCGGCGUGCCUAAUACAUGCAAGUCGAACGCAUUGUGGUUGAAAUGAUAUGAAGAACUUGUUCAGAUUUGAUUUUCAACAUUGCAAUGAGUGGCGAACGGGUGAGUAACACGUGGGAAACCUACCUCUUAGCAGGGGAUAACAUUUGGAAACAAAUGCUAAUACCGUAUAAUAAUUAAAACCGCAAUGGUUUUAGUUUAAAAGAUGGUCUUGCUAUCACUAAGAGAUGGUCCCCGCGGUGUAUUAGUUAGUUGGUGAGGUAAUGGCUCACCAAGCAAUGAUACAUAGCCGAGUUGAGAGACUGACCGGCCACAAUGGGAGUGAGACACGGCCCAUACUCCUAGGGAGCAGCAGUA
rnacentral:rRNA from 1 species